rnacentral:ncRNA from 1 species
CCUGUCAUAUGGCUGACAGUAGCUUAGGGAUAGUGCGUAGUUGGCAACAACUGGGUACGAAGCUUCCUGACAAUGUACCCCCUUGAGGAAUAGCAAGGUUAAUCUAUAUUGUGAAAUAUUGAUUAAGUAAUGGCAAGUAGAAUGCUGUGAG